AGGAUGUAUAAAUAGCGUAGCAUGAUCGGAGAUUUAUCUCUGCAAAUGCAAGAUUCUUAGAGAAGGAAAUUAGUGUGAUUUCGGCAAGUUCCGCGUCAAAGUUAUCGGACUUCUAACUACAUUAGAAAUGUGAAGAUACUGUGAAUAUACAAAAAUAAAAAGCCAAGAAGAAAAAUGGAAAAAAAGGAAAAUAUGUAUAAAAAAGGUUUGUAAAGUGUGUAUAAUUCCAGAUGAACACUCCCGUGGCGGUUGUAUUUUUUGUACACAUAAGAAUCGCGAUGUAAAUAGAUAUCAUUGAAUGUUUUGGGUGAACAGAAUCCAGGGUUUUUCUCUUUUUUUUAUGAUAAUGAACAUGUUAUUUGUAAUGUUCACACUGAUUUUUUUUUUAUAGAUCUGUUUGUUGUUUUUGAUCAUACAAUCCAAAUGCAAGAUUUGUAUUCUACAGACACAUGCACGCGCGCACACACUCACAUCCCCCCCACCCCCCUACACCCUACCCCCCACAUACACCCCUACACCCUACCCCCCCCCACACAAAUCUACAUAUAUAUACCUAUAGAUAUGUAGAUGUAUAUGAAUAUAUGUAUCUUUAUUUAUGUUAUAUAUAUUUAAAUAUUUCUGUUGAAAUACAGAUUUCUUUGGUACAAAAUGCCUUUGUAUAAAGUAGGUUGUAGAAAUCCAUUUAUUGUAAUUGUUGUUAUUAUUAAUGGCAUUAUUUUUAUUUGAGAAUUAUUUUUAUGAUUUACAUAAUGGUGAUGAUUUUGCUUAUAGUUAUGAUUUUUAUUAUGAAUAUUAAUUAUUAUUGUAAUGAAAAUGUAUUUAUGUUAUUAUUAUUUUUUUUAUAAUUACUAUUUAUUGUUGGUAAUAUUUUGAUAAUUUUUUAUAUUGCAGUUAUUUUAAUUACCAUAAUAAUUAGUGCCUAUUUUUGCCAGUUGACGCAUUAGGUUUUAUUCCUAGUAUCAUGUGUAUUUCACUUUGUGAAUAAUUCAGGUAGCAACCAUACAUGCCAUAUAUGCAUACAUACAUCAUUAUAUGCAUAGCUGUUUAAAAGAUACCUCUAGUAAAACACUUACAUGAAUACAUAUGGAUAUACACACAUAUACCUAACAUGACUGCAUGCAUGCAUAUACACAAAAUACAGACAGACAUAUUUUUUGAAGGAGAAAAAAAAAUGGAAUUAGUGUUUUCCCACACGAGUGCAGCUUAGAGCUAUGCUUAGAUUUAUUACAAAAAAAAAGGAAAAGAAAAAAAAAACACAGAGAUAUUUGUAGAAUUUAUUUAUUGAUUUCUUUUUAAGGGAUAUAUGGGGAAGGUGUCUGGAAGUGUGCUUGCGAAACCUUGAAAUGAAUGUGCUCAGGGGCACGUUUGCAAUGGUGUGAAUGACAAGAUUUGCUUGAAAGUGUAAACACGAAAAUUUGUAGUGGAAGUGUGCAUGAUGGAAUUUUUAGUUUGGGAAAAGAAAAUUAUGAUUAAUUUGAUUUUUUGUUGUUGUCAGGGCUGUUGUGAUUAUUAUCUUUGUUAUCACUAUUAUUAUUAUUUAUUAUUAUUAUUAUUAUUAUUAUUAUUAUUAUUAUUAUUAUUAUAUUAGUGUUACUAUUAUCACCGUCACUGUUACCAUCAUCAUAAUCAUGAUCAUAAUGAUUUUUAUCAUUAUUAUCGUAAUUUUCAUCUGUAUCAUUAUUAUUAUUAGUAGUAAUGAUGAUAUUGCAAACAUCCUUUUCACCUUCAUUACUAUUAUCAUUAUUAUUAUAUCUACUGCCAUUGUUGUUAUGAUUAUUGCUAUAAAUGUCAUUAUUAUUAUCAUUAUUGUUGCUGUCAUUAUUUUGGCAACUGUUUCAUGCAAAAGAGCUUUAAGAAAAAGGCAAAAAAUAAAAUAGAUAAAUGUU